UGGGUCAGCGACUUAUAUUCUGUAGCAAGGUUAACCGUAUAGGGGAGCCGGAGGGAAACCGAGUCUUAACCGGGCGUUAAGUUGCAGGGUAUAGACCCGAAACCCGGUGAUCUAGCCAUGGGCAGGUUGAAGGUUGGGUAACACUAACUGGAGGACCGAACCGACUAAUGUUGAAAAAUUAGCGGAUGACCUGUGGCUGGGGGUGAAAGGCCAAUCAAACCGGGAGAUAGCUGGUUCUCCCCGAAAGCUAUUUAGGUAGCGCCUCGUGAAUUCAUCUCCGGGGGUAGAGCACUGUUUCGGCUAGGGGGCCAUCCCGGCUUACCAACCCGAUGCAAACUGCGAAUACCGGAGAAUGUUAUCACGGGAGACACACGGCGGGUGCUAACGUCCGUCGUGAAGAGGGAAACAACCCAGACCGCCAGCUAAGGUCCCAAAGUCAUGGUUAAGUGGGAAACGAUGUGGGAAGGCCCAGACAGCCAGGAUGUUGGCUUAGAAGCAGCCAUCAUUUAAAGAAAGCGUAAUAGCUCACUGGUCGAGUCGGCCUGCGCGGAAGAUGUAACGGGGCUAAACCAU
rnacentral:rRNA from 1 species